rnacentral:lncRNA from 10 species
AAGAAGGGUAGGAGAGAAAAGCCAUGGCCGAGUUAAAUAAACAUGGGACACAAGAGGAUGAUCUCUGCUUUCCAGGGACUGAUGUGGAAAUGGUAAACUCAGUCUUCAGGUCACUCCAUGCACAUAUAUGGGGACUACUGAGGGAAACAAGUAGGACAGCAAUACAGUAAGAAGAGGGAUUACCCAACUGUGAGGAGGGGGACAUUUCACUGAUGAAAUCUAAAUGAGGUCACUUUCUGUUGAUGACGUGAGAGGAAUAUGAGGCUGUUUUCAUGAUGUGAGAAAUCCUUGUGCUCCAAACAGACAAGGUCCUGAAGGAGAAGAGAAAGCUGUUUAUCCAUUCCAUGGGUGAAGGUACAAUAAAUGGCUUACUGGAUGAAUUAUUACAGACAAGGGUGCUGAACCAGGAAGAGAUGGAGAAAGUAAAACGUGAAAAUGCUACAGUUAUGGAUAAGACCCGAGCUUUGAUUGACUCCGUUAUUCCGAAAGGGGCACAGGCAUGCCAAAUUUGCAUCACAUACAUUUGUGAAGAAGACAGUUACCUGGCAGAGACGCUGGGACUCUCAGCAGGUAAGGGUCAGUGACUCACACUCAAGUUCACCUAGGGCCUGUCUUCGUGCCUAACAUUUGAUUUCUUUACUAGUCAUGUUAAUCUGCAGAAUAUCUUCUUAUCUCUGCCUUUGGGCCAUAUUUCUGUAGCAGAGGCCCUAUUGCAUGUCCCUUGACUCUUUUUUGUGUUCCUUCAUCCUCAGUGCCCUCUUCUGAUUAAAGUUCAUUUUCUGUUCUGAGUACAUGGUAGCUAAUUUCCUUAAGGUCAUGAGAACUAUCUAGAAAGCUUCAUACAAUAUGUUCCAGUGUUCCUGGCAAGGCACGAUAUUUAUUGAUUGAUUUAUUAUUUUGUGUCCAGGGUGUCCCUAAGCCCUUAUGUAGUUGUUUGACAUGAGCUUUAGGGUCUGUAUUCAAAUACUUUUUAUAAAUUCUUUUCAAACUUUUGCCCUCAGAGAAGAAUAAAGUAUAUUUAAGUGACGAUGAUACGUUCAGGAAAUACAUU